rnacentral:lncRNA from 1 species
GCGACAUCCCCGGUUCUGCUCCCAGCUCUGCCCCGGAGAACCCCCAAACAGCACUAUUGUAACACAUGUGGUAAAACCUUCUCUUCCUCGAGUGCCCUGCAGAUCCACGAGAGAACUCACACUGGAGAGAAGCCCUUUGCUUGCACUAUCUGUGGAAGAGCAUUCACAACGAAAGGCAAUCUGAAGGUCCACAUGGGCACUCAUAUGUGGAACAGUACCCCUGCACGCCGGGGCCGCCGGCUCUCAGUGGAUGGCCCCAUGACAUUUCUAGGAGGGAAUCCUGUCAAGUUCCCAGAAAUGUUCCAGAAGGAUCUGGCGGCGAGGUCAGGAAGCGGGGAUCCGUCUUGAGUCGUCUUCGAUGUUAACCAGUUUCUGUACAGUAAUAAGCACGCAGAAUUCUUUAGAGGGAAAAAAAACCCCACAAGUGUUGUUUUGGUAGUUGAAACUGAGAUGUAGCAUUUUUGCCUUGUAGGGUAUCUUCACAGUAGAAAAAGACGUGUGCUGGGAUUUCACAAUGCUGCUAACGAUAGCAUCUUGAACGACCUUCAGUGGAGAAAUGUAGAUGCUCUUGUAUAUACAAUAAGAAAUAUCCCUUUCAUUAAAAUGUACAUAUGUCCCUUACAAGAGCAAAUGCUCCUUGAUAAGAGCAGGUAUAAUGUUGGUUUAUUUUGUAUUAGAUAUGGGAGGAAAGAAAUGGACUGUUACAUGCACUUUCUUGGAAAGUUGAAAGGGGGGGUUCCAAUUUCUUUAACAUUUAAUACUUACUAACAACAGAGAUACUGUAAUUUUACUCAAGUAAUCAAAUACAUUUUUUUUGCAACAGAU